rnacentral:rRNA from 1 species
UACGUAGGGUGCGAGCGUUGUCCGGAUUUAUUGGGCGUAAAGAGCUCGUAGGUGGUCUGUUGCGUCGGUUGUGAAAACCCGGGGCUUAACUCCGGGCCUGCAGUCGAUACGGGCAGACUAGAGUUCGGCAGGGGAGACUGGAAUUCCUGGUGUAGCGGUGAGAUGCGCAGAUAUCAGGAGGAACACCGGUGGCGAAGGCGGGUCUCUGGGCCGAUACUGACACUGAGGAGCGAAGGCGUGGGGAGCGAACAGG